AAGAUAAACACUUGCGUUAGAUUUUUUUAUUCGUCAUUUUGAUAAGAGUGUUUCGUAAAUAGGUGAACAAACUUUGGUAUCGUAUUUUCUACACAUUUCAAGAAAAUGAAAGAAAAGUCUAUAAAGGUCAGGGAACUCUUGCUUCUCAAGAUGUGAGCACUUGUUCUGGAAAUUUUCAAUAAAGCGUUUUUUUAUCAGGUUCUAUACAUUUUAUUUUCAUAUAUAUGAAUUAUGAUUAUAUGCUCUAUAAUAUUUCUUUCAUAGAUAAUAACGGGAAUGUUCGUGAACUCCUGAAGUGGACGGUUCAAGCUGUAGAUAUAUAAGUUGAGGAGUAUAUACAACAGUGAUUUCGUUUGUGAAGAACAUGUGCGUCACAACUCACUGCUAUAAUCUUCAAUAUUGUAUCUCACCUUGUUCAUAUACUUUUAAUAGUCGAUCAUUUCUUGAAUAUUACAAUACAAGUAGCGAUAAUACAAAAUAAUAAGAUUGUUUAAUUUUCCAGAGGUUGACAAAUUAAAGAUCAAUACCUAAAUAUCAAUUCAACAAGAAUCAACGUUGAAACGCGUAGACUUUUGAGUUGGUAUGCUUCCAGCUGGAUGAAAGACAGCCAAUUAUCGAUAUUUUAGGUGUACCUUGAACUAACGUCGAACUUAGAUCGCUAAUAACAUUCACUGAUAAAUGGCAAAAGAGUUUGCGGCCAGUUGAACAUUUGAAGGAGGCGAAACUAUAAUAAAACUAAAUGAAAGUGCAUACCAGAUGAAUUAUAAGUGAACGAUUUAAAUGUACGUGUAUAUUCUACAAUCUCCUACGGACGACUGACACGGUGCUCACGUCGAUAAAUUAUCUUUGAUUUUUCACAGGAUUUUUCACAGGAAAUGUUAUAACUAGCUAUAUAUAAAAUAUAGUUUGUAUAUUUUUGUACAUAAGUUGGUGAUCUUGUAUGAUACCAUAUCAGUGAUAACUGAUACUUGAGAUUAAUAUAGAUAAAAAUGUGACAAUUAUUUGAUAUGUGUAACUUGUGUAACGUGUUAUGUUUUGCUCGUUGUAUCUGUAGACAAUUUAAUUUUUAUACAAUUUAAGGACAGAGAUAUCUCAUACGUGAUUAUAUAACUAUAAUUUCAUUUAAAAACUUUUGGCACAUCUUGUAUUUGUUCUGUUAAUAAUGCACAGGAAGGUAUAGGCGAGUUAGGUAUUAUCCCUUUGAAUAAUUUUCAUCCUCCCAUGACCGUGAACAGUUUAAAAGUCUAUGUUUCAAAUAUAGCCUCUCCGAGGUUAUAGCAUUUGUUUAAAAACGUAUAGAUUAAUUUCAGUUUCGAAAGGCCCUGGUGGCCGAUAGACAUGAAAUUUGAGGAGGCUUGAUGAAAGGGGAGCAGGAGAGUGUGAGCCGCAAAUAUAAAAUUUUAGUUUCUGGUAUUUAUUUAUUGAUAUAUUUCCAAGAUAUUGAUACAGAACUUGCAGUACUGUACAUUAAAUCCUGUCUAUACUGAUGUUACUAAUGCAAGCGUCAUUACUGAAAUAACGUCACCAUCGCCGUCGACUGUCGAGCAGCCAAUGAUGCAAUAGUGAUAUCGGCUUUGGUAUCUAUGGGGUGUUCCACUUACAACCCGGCCACUUCUUUUUAAGCUACGUUAUAUUUACAUCUUAAUUUCGCUGGCCAAAAAAUAUUGGGUUACACCGUACUUAGUGUAAUUUUGGAUACCGUACCGGAUACUGUCCGGAUGGAGAUAGAAAAGUACGAGUAAUAUCGGUUAGGACUAAGCUAUAUAUUUUUCUUGUCGAAAGGCUACUUUGCCAAUUUCGGUGAUCUCAAAAUAUGUUGAGAAAUUUUAUAUUUUGAACAACUUUUUCCUAUACAGGUAACCAAUGGUUGGCCUUAGUUUUCGAGUUAUACGCAAAAUAUUUCGCCAUUCCGCUUUAGUUUUCAAGCUGGCUUAGGUUAAUACUAAUGUUAAUCCAGCAUUUGAUAGCUUAAACACUUUAAGGAAUAAUUAAAUAAAAUAUAAAACAUCCUUUGUGCGGCUGAAGUUACAAUGAUCUAUUUUACUUGAAACACCCUAUAGAUACUGAGGCGGAUAUUGCUGCUGUAUCAUCGCCUACUUAAGAGUUCACGGCGAUGACUACUACAGCAACGACGGCUGUAUUAAUAUCGUCUGUAUAGACAGAAUUCAAUGUAUACAUUUCUAAAUGUCCAAAAAAUGUUUAAUAUUUUAUAUUUGGGGUCUACCACCGCCAUCAAAUUUCGAGUCGAUAGGUUACCGGGGCCUUUCGGAACUUCAACCCAGUAACGUUCCCAUUUGGUUUAUUUAUAUCCCUUUAUCAUUCAAUAAUUACUUCAAAGUAAUAUGUAAUGCAAAGAUUAUUACAUAUUAUUUAAUCAUUGAACUAUAUAAAAUUUGAUGAAAAGAUAAUAACGAUAUUUUUCUUAUAGAUAAAAAGUAUUCUUCCCUUCGGAAGCCAUUUUUUCCAGUUCAAAAUUUUCAAAACUCUUCUGUCGACAUUCUCGUUCGAUUUCUAAACAUAACGUUCUUUAAUGAAUUGUUUUCUGUAAUGUAGGAAUAAUAGCUGGUGACACCGGCUAUUUAUCAAAAAAUUACAGCGCUUAUCGCAUGGAUAUAUCGGCCAUUCGGUCGACGUGGCAGUGUUCAACGAUCCUCAAAGCCUAAAACAUCUUGUUCAGGUUCUACAUUAUUUUUUCAUAUAAAAUCAGUGUAUUUUCGAUGCACUCAGUGCGACUCAAAAUAAUUUUUUUAUCUCUUUUAUAUGGAAAUAUAAAAAUAAGGCUGGUAGCCUUUCGUUACUUCAUAGACAUCCUAGAUCACUAGAUCUUGGAAAGUAUAUGGGACACUCCGCUGCAUAGGAAAGAACAUAGCAAUUGCGUCACGACUUAUUUAAUCGAUACAUAAAUAUUCGUGAAGCUAACUUUCUUGUCAUGAGAAUAUGCAGGAUAUUUCUACCUCUUUUCGCAAAAUGCUAGUAUCAUAUUCUACGAUUAAAAAUAAGAGAAAAAUGUUAUAUAAACAUAGAUUCAAAUAUGCUUUAUUAAAAAAUUAUAACAAAGAUUCAAAAUAACAGACUAGUUUUCGUUCAAUGGAGUAUAUGAACAAAUUGGUGAUUUAUGUAGUUCCAUCUUAAUGACAUCUAUUCUUAUCUAUCUAUUCUUCUAUUCUUAUAGUGUAUCGAUAAUGAAAACCGUAACUGUUUUUGUCAUAAUUUUUUAAGAAAG